GCGGCGGACGGGUGAGUAAUGCCUAGGAAUCUGCCUAGUAGUGGGGGAUAACUUGCCGAAAGGUAAGCUAAUACCGCAUACGUCCUACGGGAGAAAGCAGGGGACUCUUCGGAGCCUUGCGCUAUUAGAUGAGCCUAGGUCGGAUUAGUUAGUUGGUGAGGUAAUGGCUCACCAAGACUGCGAUCCGUAACUGGUCUGAGAGGAUGAUCAGUCACACUGGAACUGAGACACGGUCCAGACUCCUACGGGAGGCAGCAGUGGGGAAUAUUGGACAAUGGGGGAAACCCUGAUCCAGCCAUGCCGCGUGUGUGAAGAAGGUCUUAGGAUUGUAAAGCACUUUAAGUUGGGAGGAAGGGCAGUUAACUAAUACUUGACUGUUUUGACGUUACCGACAGAAUAAGCACCGGCUAACUUCGUGCCAGCAGCCGCGGUAAUACGAAGGGUGCAAGCGUUAAUCGGAAAUACUGGGCGUAAAGCGCGCGUAGGUGGUUCGGUAAAUUAGGAGUGAAAGCCCCGG
rnacentral:rRNA from 1 species